rnacentral:rRNA from 1 species
GAUGAACGCUGGCGGCGUGCCUAAUACAUGCAAGUCGAGCGAACGGACGAGAAGCUUGCUUCUCUGAUGUUAGCGGCGGACGGGCGAGUAACACGUGGAUAACCUACCUAUAAGACUGGGAUAACUUCGGGAAACCGGAGCUAAUACCGGAUAAUAUUUUGAACCGCAUGGUUCAAAAGUGAAAGACGGUCUUGCUGUCACUUAUAGAUGGAUCCGCGCUGCAUUAGCUAGUUGGUAAGGUAACGGCUUACCAAGGCAACGAUGCAUAGCCGACCUGAGAGGGUGAUCGGCCACACUGGAACUGAGACACGGUCCAGACUCCUACGGGAGGCAGCAGUAGGGAAUCUUCCGCAAUGGGCGAAAGCCUGACGGAGCAACGCCGCGUGAGUGAUGAAGGUCUUCGGAUCGUAAAACUCUGUUAUUAGGGAAGAACAUAUGUGUAAGUAACUGUGCACAUCUUGACGGUACCUAAUCAGAAAGCCACGGCUAACUACGUGCCAGCAGCCGCGGUAAUACGUAGGUGGCAAGCGUUAUCCGGAAUUAUUGGGCGUAAAGCGCGCGUAGGCGGUUUUUUAAGUCUGAUGUGAAAGCCCACGGCUCAACCGUGGAGGGUCAUUGGAAACUGGAAAACUUGAGUGCAGAAGAGGAAAGUGGAAUUCCAUGUGUAGCGGUGAAAUGCGCAGAGAUAUGGAGGAACACCAGUGGCGAAGGCGACUUUCUGGUCUGUAACUGACGCUGAUGUGCGAAAGCGUGGGGAUCAAACAGGAUUAGAUACCCUGGUAGUCCACGCCGUAAACGAUGAGUGCUAAGUGUUAGGGGGUUUCCGCCCCUUAGUGCUGCAGCUAACGCAUUAAGCACUCCGCCUGGGGAGUACGACCGCAAGGUUGAAACUCAAAGGAAUUGACGGGGACCCGCACAAGCGGUGGAGCAUGUGGUUUAAUUCGAAGCAACGCGAAGAACCUUACCAAAUCUUGACAUCCUUUGACAACUCUAGAGAUAGAGCCUUCCCCUUCGGGGGACAAAGUGACAGGUGGUGCAUGGUUGUCGUCAGCUCGUGUCGUGAAAUGUUGGGUUAAGUCCCGCAACGAGCGCAACCCUUAAGCUUAGUUGCCAUCAUUAAGUUGGGCACUCUAAGUUGACUGCCGGUGACAAACCGGAGGAAGGUGGGGAUGACGUCAAAUCAUCAUGCCCCUUAUGAUUUGGGCUACACACGUGCUACAAUGGACAAUACAAAGGGCAGCGAAACCGCGAGGUCAAGCAAAUCCCAUAAAGUUGUUCUCAGUUCGGAUUGUAGUCUGCAACUCGACUACAUGAAGCUGGAAUCGCUAGUAAUCGUAGAUCAGCAUGCUACGGUGAAUACGUUCCCGGGUCU